rnacentral:rRNA from 1 species
ACACGGGAAUCUUACCGGGUCCGGACAUACCGAGGAUUGACAGACUGUUAACUGCAACACAAGCUGCUAAGUUUUAAACUUAAUAGCUCUUUCAUGAUUAUAUGAUAGGUGGUGCAUGGCCGUUCUUAGUUCGUGGAGUGAUCUGUCUGCUUAAUUGCGUUUCAAAAUUUAAACCUGAGCGACAAGGUGCUGCUAUCGAAACUGUCUUUGAGUGUGAACUAUAAGUCUUUUGACUUAUGACCAUCACUCUAGACGUUUAUGUUUUGGUGUUGGCCCUUGAUGCUCAUUUGAACGCAACGGACGUGAUUGCAACCCCUUGUUGAGAUUUAUCCGAUCUCUACGUUCACUGAACCACACUCUUUAGCGAGAGCAGUGGGGAUGUGGAUAAACUCGGGGGACUGCUGACUAUAAACUUUUCUCAAACCAGAGGAAGGUUGCGGCAAUAACAGGUCUGUGAUGCCCUCAGA